CUUCAGUGAUGAUACGAUGACGAGACAGAACAAGACUCAGUCUAGUUCUGUGGUUAACUGUUUCAGGGCCACGUUCUGUGGUUCUGGUCCAGUUCCUCAGAGCAGUGAGUCUUUUCCACUUGAAGACACAGAGGCAUUUGUCUGAGAAGG